rnacentral:rRNA from 1 species
GAUCUCAAAUCAGGUAGGGAUACCCGCUGAACUUAAGCAUAUCAAUAAGCGGAGGAAAAGAAACCAACAGGGAUUGCCUUAGUAACGGCGAGUGAAGCGGCAAAAGCUCAGAUUUGAAAUCUGGUAUCAAAUUGAUACUCGAGUUGUAAUCUGUAGAGGAGUUUUCGGAGUACGGCUUUGGUUAAAGUUCCUUGGAAAAGGGCAUCAUAGAGGGUGAGAAUCCUGUUUAUGACCAGUGUCUGUCUCCAUUAUGAACCUCCUUCAAUGAGUCGAGUUGUUUGGGAAUGCAGCUCUAAAUGGGUGGUAAAUUCCAUCUAAAGCUAAAUAUUGGCAAGAGACCGAUAGCGCACAAGUAGAGUGAUCGAAAGAUGAAAAGAACUCUGAACAGAGAGUUAAAGAGUACGUGAAAUUGUUGAAAGGGAAGCACUUGUGACCAGACAAAUUUACGGUUAAUCAGCCAUCAAUUCUUGGUGGUGCACUUAAUUGUAGAUGGGUCAGCAUCAGUUAUAGUAGUGGAACAAAGAUCAAAGGAAUGUAGCUCCUCUUUGAGGAGUGUUAUAGCCUUUGGUUCAAUACCGCUGGCCA